UACGGAGGGGGCUAGCGUUGUUCGGAUUUACUGGGCGUAAAGGGCGCGUAGGCGGCGUGGUAAGUCACUUGUGAAAUCUCUGAGCUUAACUCAGAACGGCCAAGUGAUACUGCUGUGCUAGAGUGCAGAAGGGGCAAUCGGAAUUCUUGGUGUAGCGGUGAAAUGCGUAGAUAUCAAGAGGAACACCUGAGGUGAAGACGGGUUGCUGGGCUGACACUGACGCUGAGGCGCGAAAGCCAGGGGAGCAAACAGG
rnacentral:rRNA from 1 species